CUCAACCCUUGGGGGAGGCAGAAAUGCCUGAGAGUUUCUCGUUAUACGGGAGAGGCCCCUUGAACCUGAUACGGGCAAUGCUGGCGUAGGGAACAGGGAAUUAAGUUUAA
rnacentral:ncRNA from 2 species